CUGAGCGUGCUGUCCGUUUUAUGUUGGUACCUUGACUGAGAAGCCCAUUUUUUAUACAGUGGAAGAAGGAGUGUGAAGGAGGAAAUGCCAAACAGGACACAUGUCAGAGGAGGGUCUGGAAAUGGAUGCUCUUAUCGUGUCCCUGCCUAUGAAACCUUAGAAAAUCUUCACGUCCCCCAGGGGUCUGGGUACCCCAAUGGGAUGUAGGCCCAUCUAGCACCUGGCUGUCCAUCUCUGUCCUCUCCACUCUAGAAAGAAGCCUUGCAUCUGAGAACAGAUGAAAUAUGUCGCAGCCACAAGGGGAAAUUGAUCUGAGAGCAGAGCUACGAGAUAGAAACACCAGGUCCCGACCGCAUCCUUUGAACGCCAUAGUCAAGCUGUUCCUGAAACCGGCUUCCCCACUGCCAGGCUCGGUUACAAAAGCCAGUGUGCCGCCUUCCCGCAUCAGCCACUUUGCAUUGGAGGUUUUGUGGCUUGAAUAAAGGAGACUUUAGAGUAUCAUUUGGACAGUCAGACAAGAGAGGACAGAGAGCCAAGGAGAGGAGAAGGGAGGGCAUGCCAGGCCGCGAAGUGAGAGGCGGAGACACCACAAUUCCAGCCUCUGCAAACAGUCAAGUUCUCUGUGUCAGAGAAAAGCCCUUUACAAACACAGCAAAGCAGGAGUCAAAAGAACCUAAAGGGAAGGGUUGUAAACUUAAGAUAAUCAAUCUGGGCCUCCUGGGGCCUAUAUUCUUGCUACAAAGCAAGAGGAGCAAGGGUCACAGAGAGAAUGCCGAUGCGGGGGUCAAGGGCGCUGUGAGGCGGUCCUGCCCGCGUGGGCCUCUUCCCACUGUGCAGGCUCAGGUCAGCACCCGAGCCCCCAAGUUUCCUGCCUGAAAAAGGACAAAUACCAAUGUCAACCAUCUGUAAAGAGGAUGAGAUCAGGACAUACACGUUAAAGCGCCCGGCACAGAGGGUGACCCACGGCUGGUGUUCAGUGAAUGGUAGAGAUGGUUAUCACGAUGGGUGUGGACGGCCCUGCUUCAAACGGGCACUUGAGUUUGCAGAGUGGCUAAAAGUGCUCCCGUGGGAAUCGAGGGUCAGAAACACACCUGCUUUGCAGGGAAAACAGAGGAUGCGUUCAGCCAGAGUCUGUGCCCCUGUCAGUAAUCCACAGCAGCAGCAGCCGCGAUGAUGAAUGCUGUGAUUGUGAUGCUGUACUACAUACAGUUUUGUGUGGACGCCCCGUGCCCAGCAUCCCAUCCAGGGCCAUCCCCCUGCCCCGGCAGGUCACAGAAUGCUCUUUCAUCCACUGUUGCAGAGCACAGGGACAGAGUUGGAACCAUGGUGGAUCCCGCGGUGGGGAGCAGCGGUCUUUCCUCUCUCUUCCCCGCCCUCUGGGUGAGCCAAGGAGAGAGUUUGGUUGGGUGCUGAGCACGCCUUACCGUCUCUCCAGGGCUUUCUAAUCUCCCCAAGCUAAUUAGGGGUGAUGCUGGGACAGGAAUCCGAGUCACUGAUGACACAGCCAAUGCAGCUUUUAACACUUCCGUGCACAUCCUCUUAUCAGAUUAGCUAAGUUCGAAGAACAGUGUCGUCAGAGAUGAGAUAAAAUAGAACGCAGAAGUUUUUAGGGGAGGGACACAGGACACUUCCCUGCUGGGGUGAGGAGCCUAGAUGAAGGGGGAAAGCCUGGCCCCCCAGGAAAGUGGGGGACGGGGGCGUGGGCUGCUAGACUAUAGGAAUCCUGGCAGGUGGACACCCAGAGAAGAGUGAUAGGGGCAUCUGAAGCCAAGGUCAGCCCCCUGCCCAAUUCUUGUAGAGAAAUGUCCAGAUCCUUCUAGAUGUUUCUGUGCCAGUAGAAAGAUGCACUGCGGGGACUCAUGCCUGCCCCUGGCUGCAUCUGAAGCCUCUAAGUCUUCAGGCUGGCAGAGUCCCACCUCCGACCACCGUCCAUCACCAGCUGGUGAGGGAUCCAGUACCAGGGCCUCUGUGCCUGGAGUUAACAGAGCCCAUCUGUAUGGGCUGCUUGGCUCCAGAACACACAGGCCUGAGCAGACCGCCGAUGGACGAAGUGCUGGGGCUGGCAGCUGUGCAUGUUUUCCCUGUCCCGCCUUUCUCUGUCCAGAGCAGCAGACAGGGCGGAAUGCCCCCGUCCAGAGAGCUGGAAAACCUGGCAGCUCCUGAGGCCCAUGCCCUCCUGUGACACAUGGAAUGAACCCCAGGGAGAAGCCUGGAGAAGAAGGAGCAAAGCUGAAGAAGGGAUGGAAAUCCCCAGCAGGACUCCACAGGCAGGUAGCUCCAGCUCUGAGACUCCCCCGGUCCUGAAGUGCACACGGAGAAGGGAAGAGUUUCAGACCUUCCAGACUUGCUCUGGACCCAGGACCCUGAAGUCCGUCCUUGCAGAGUGCGUGCACACCCCAGUCAGCCUGAGGAGCUUGUCGUGCGUCACUUACUGCAUCUCUCAAGAAACCUGAAACGCAGGGAUCGUCAUUGCCACCACCAUUUGACAAAUGAGCAAACUGAGGUCCAGAGAGAAAGCCGGGGUUCCAGCCCUUUGGAUCACUGGCCCACAGAUGGUCAUCUGUGCCCACGAUGACAUUUCCUCGAUCUGAUGUACAAGACUGUGCACACGCGGCGUCUGAUUGUGUGUGUGUGUUGGGGGGGGGUCAUUAAGUCCCAGUGCACCUAGAAUCAUCGAUAUGGUGUCCUGCUCAUGCUCAGCAAGGAUCUAGCUUGAGGCAUAAGUCCCACAGUCACUGUGGGAUGUUGAGCCCCACCUCCCCAUGCUGACCCAAGCCUCCAGCAGGAGGGUGGAGACGGAUGACUAGAGUUGUGCCAGGUAGCACGUAAGGAGGCCUGCGAUCGUGUAGCUUGCCUUUGAGCUGUGGUUCUAGGACCAUUUUGUUUUCUGACCCUGGAGACACAAGCACUCGCUCGAUCAGCCCCCAGCCCUGGGCGGACAUUUCCUCUGUCUUCAUUUUUGCAAUCCUUUCCCCUCCCACACGGGCUUCUUAGAGGGUCCAAAGCAUGUCAGGUGCACAUCUGGCUCAGGGUCCUAGCUCUUAGCCCCACGGUCACCCUCUUUCCUCCUAGAGCUCUGCGCCCAGACGUCCACUUCUCAGAGAAGUCCCUCUGAGUGCUUCUUCUAACAUUCCUCCUCCUGUUUCCUUCAUCGCGCUUCAGAAAACCGAGCACAGCCCAACAUAGUAUAGAUGUUACCUAUUUAUUCUGUUUAUAGUCUGUCUGCCUGCUGCAGUGUAAGCUCUGGACGGCCAGGAGUUUGUCCUUUCUGAAGAACUACUGUACUCCUCAUACCGGCAACUGAAUGAAUGAAUGAAUGAAUGGAGGCAAGAAAUGAUA